UCAUAGCAGCCCCUCUGGCAUUUGCCAGAACCCACAGAUUGCCAGUCCGGGCCUGCUUGGGGCAACACAGAAGUCCCUAGAGCAACUAAUGCCCAAUUAAUGCAGUUUUCUUUACCCUUGGACUAUCUUGAUUUGGAGCCUUGACUUGCACAUCUAUAAGAUCCUUGGAAAUUAGAAAUGCAGAGCCCAAUGAGAACCAGAACAAAGUGAAGCCACUAACUAAAUCAUUUACAUCAACCACCAUCAUCUGCUACUGCUACUGUUAUGAAGAGAAGUUGAGAUCGUGGGUGAGUGCUCAGAAAGGCUCUGUUGAGAGGAGAGUCCGGCUGGAAAGGAAAGAACAGCUGAUGGGAUUGAAUUCUGCAUCCUGAAACAAUCCAAGCAUAUAAGGUCAAUGACGCUUGAUGGAGACUGACUAAGUAUUUGUGAGCACGAAACACACACAAUCAACUUUUUCUACUCUUUGUUGAACAACCUGAUGGAAGAUUGCCUUUAUUCUGAGUGCCUGCUCCAUUGAUAUUUUCUGUUGAUGGAGACUGCCAGUAGAGCCUGGGAAAACUCACCCAGUUUGCCAGAGCAGAAUUCACCAGCAGGCCCUGGCUCAGGAAUUCAGCCACCGUCUAGCGUGGGAGCCUCCACCGGGGUCAACUACAGCUCAUUUGGAGAUGUGUCAAUGCCACCCAUGCCUGUUGCUUUAGUUGCACCAUCUGCCUCCAUGCCAGGUUCUAGGUGUACAUGCAGCCGAGUCUUUCUCAGCCCAGUGCCAUGGUACUGACCAGUGAUACAGACCUCAAGCCUCCAUAUAACCCUUUCCCUGGCAUGCAAACACUGGAAAUGAACACAACCCAGGCCACAUCCCUUUUAUCAGUCCCUGAAUGGAAGCCAGCAGAUGGUGUAUGAAAGCCAGCUUAAUCAGGCCUCCCAGAUGAUGGGCUCACAGCUCACACAGGGCCACCAUCAUGGGGGCACAGUCAUCCCGGGCCUAGUGGAUUUCAACUUACAAGGGGGGCCCAGGGAAGAAGAAUCUGUUGCUGUCGCUGGAGAAGGGUGAAGGAGCCGCUGGAUAAGAUGCCACCCUAGGAGAGUGAAGAAGUAUUUGCUGCUGAACUUUAGAGGAAAUUUUUACUGAACCCCAAUGUUUCUUUUUCCCUUAACCACCAAUAUCUUCACCAUUCCGUAGGGGUCCUGUUCACCAAUCCUUGAAUAUCUGGAGAAAGAAGUAUUUACUAACAACCUCACCGCCCACUGCCCAGUUCAACACUACCAGCCGCUGACUGAUUGGACCUCACCACGGUGCUACCUCCUGUCUCCAUUCAGACCUCGGUGAUGCACAGACCUGGGACAUGUCUAUACUUUUCUGGCUUUGUUAUGUCUGUAUGUGCCAGUGGGUACAUCAGUAUACAGGCUACAUUCCAUGAUAGGGAAUGGAGGGAGAUUCCCAGGAAUGACCAUUAGAAACAGAAUCUCCAGCCCAGUGUAAGAAUGCUUGGUGGAGCAGCUGUACCCACAGGAGGACUGGCAUGUGUCACACACAGAUGAAGGAGUAUCACAGAAGGCGACCAUUCCAGCACCAACGGGAGGAAAGUCCAAAGAAUGUGAUCCUGAUAACCCGUCACAGCUCUCUCCAGAGCCAACUGAGAAUCACUGCAGCCAGAUUUCCAGCAUGACACGCUCCAGUUACUGUUGAACUACAAAUCUCACAAUCCCUGGAUGUUGUUGGGAGAUAAGAAUCCCAGGCAGCAUAAAAGAAGAAGAUGAUUGGUUGAAGAAUGGGAUGGUAUAUUCCACUGUCUCACAGCAGGGGGGUUCAUUGAUGGUAAUGUUCCAGCCAUGAGACGUCUAUUCCGUUUAUGAAACAGAAAGGUAAAAUUCAACCAUUAUUCAUUAUAUUCUCCUAAAAUCCCAGCUUGAAGGUCAGUUAAAGUGAGAUUUGGGUAAAAGCUAAUAGUUACAUACGACUGUAACCUUGUUAUGAGCAAAGGGGGCAGGUCAAAUGUUGUGUCUCAAAGAGGGGCUUGAAGUCUGAAAUCUACUGAUCUAGAGAUACUGGUCCUUAUUUCUGUAGGUAAAUGAGAGCAAAGCAGGCAUCCAACACUUUCCCCUUCUCUCUAUCUCUAUAUAUUAGGUACCGACCUGGUGCUACCAACCCCUAUUUCUGCAGGGUAAUUAGAGCAGGCAGUGACUCUCAAUUCCCUGUAUAACUCAGCCUGCAGCCUUGUGCCUUUAUAUGGUCACAGAACCCCUCAGUGACUUCUAAUAUCC